AAUAAAUAGACAGGUAUAUAAAUAAAUAAAUAAAUAAAUAAAUAAAUAAGUAAAUAAAUAAAUAAACCAAUCAAUCAAUCAAUCAAUCAAUAAUCAAUCAAUCCCAAUUUUUUCCCCAUCAACUCGUGACCCAGCCCUGAGCUCAUCCUGAAGAAGAGUUUGAUGUCGGUGUCGGGGCGAUAAAUCAAUCAAUCGAUAAACACUUACAGGCAGAACCGGCAAUAAUAAUAACAAUACAUCAACCAAUCAACGAUCAAUCAAUCCCAAUUCUUCCCCAAUAAAACUUGGGAAUCGCCGCGCCCUGACCUCAUCCUGAAGAAGACGCAGGUGUCGGUGUCGGUGUCGGUGUCGGAGUCGGUGUCGGUAUCGGUGCUGGUGUUGGUUUUGGUGUUGGUUUUGGUGUUGGUGUUGGUGCCGGUGUUGGUGUUGGUGCUGGUGUCAGUGCCAUUGUCGGUGCCGGUGCUGGUGCCAGUGUCAGUGUCGGUGUCGGUGUCGGUUUUGGUUUUGGUGUCAGUGUUGGUGCCAGUGUCAGUGUUGGUGUUGGUGUUGGUUUUGGUGUCGGUGCCGGUUUUGGUGUCAGUGCCGGUGCCGGUGUUGGUUUUGGUGCCGGUGUUGGUUUUGGUGCCGGUGUUGGUGCCGGUGCAGGUGUUGGUGCCGGUGUUGGUUUUGGUGUCAGUGUCGGUGUCGGUGCCGGUGUUGGUUUUGGUGUCAGUGCCAUUGUCGGUGCCGGUGUCGGUGCCGGUGUUGGUUUUGGUGCCAGUGUCGGUGCCGGUGUUGGUGUCAGUGCCAUUGUCGGUGUCGGUGCCGGUGUCGGUGCCGGUGUUGGUUUUGGUGCCAGUGUCGGUGCCGGUGUUGGUGUCAGUGCCAUUGUCGGUGUCGGUGCCGGUGUCGGUGGUGUUGGUGUUGGUGUCGGUGUCGGUUUUGGUGUCAGUGCCGGUGCCGGUGUUGGUUUUGGUGCCGGUGUUGGUGCCGGUGUUGGUUUUGGUGCCGGUGUUGGUGCCAGUGCAGGUGUUGAUGCCGGUGGGUGUUGGUGUUGGUGUCAGUGCCAUUGUCGGUGCCGGUGUCGGUGCCGGUGUUGGUUUUGGUGUCAGUGCCGGUGUCGGUGCCGGUGCCGGUGUCGGUUUUGGUGUCGGUGCUUGGUGCCGGUGCAGGUGUUGGUGCCGGUGUUGGUUUUGGUGUCAGUGUCGGUGUCGGUGCCGGUGUUGGUUUUGGUGUCAGUGCCAUUGUCGGUGCCGGUGUCGGUGCCGGUGUUGGUUUUGGUGCCAGUGUCGGUGCCGGUGUUGGUGUCAGUGCCAUGGGAAAAAUCCCGGGAAAAAUCCGGGAAAAAUCGGGGAAAAAUCCCGGGAAAAAUCCGGGAAAAAUCGGGGAAAAAUCCCGGGAAAAAUCCGGGAAAAAUCGGGGAAAAAUCCCGGGAAAAAUCCGGGAAAAAUCGGGGAAAAAUCCCGGGAAAAAUCCGGGAAAAAUCGGGGAAAAAUCCCGGGAAAAAUCCGGGAAAAAUCGGGGAAAAAUCCCGGGAAAAAUCCGGGAAAAAUCGGGGAAAAAUCCCGGGAAAAAUCCGGGAAAAAUUCCGGGAAAAAUCCGGGAAAAAUCCGGGAAAAAUCCGGGAAAAAUCCUGGAAAAAUCCGGGAAAAAUCGAGGCAAAAUCCGGGAAAAAUCCGGGAAAAAUCCGGGAAAAAUCCGGGAAAAAUCCGGGAAAAAUCCGGGAAAAAUCCGGGAAAAAUCCGGGAAAAAUCCGGGAAAAAUCCGGGAAAAAU
rnacentral:lncRNA from 12 species